rnacentral:rRNA from 1 species
UAGUCAUAUGCUUGUCUCAAAGAUUAAGCCAUGCAUGUCUAAGUAUAAAUCUUUAUACGGUGAAACUGCGAAUGGCUCAUUAAAUCAGUUAUAAUUUAUUUGAUAGUACCUUACUACUUGGAUAACCGUGGUAAUUCUAGAGCUAAUACAUGCAUUAAGGCCCGACUUUUUGGAGGGCUGUAUUUAUUAGGUAAAAACCAACGCUAGCAAUAGCUUACUGGUGAUUCAUAAUAACUUCUCGGAUCGUAUGACCUUGUGUCGACGACGUAUCAUUCAAA